CAUGGUUCGAAAUUGAAAGGCGGCUUCGGCUGUCACUUAUGGAUGGACCCGCGUCGCAUUAGCUAGUUGGUGAGGUAACGGCUCACCAAGGCAACGAUGCGUAGCCGACCUGAGAGGGUGAUCGGCCACACUGGGACUGAGACACGGCCCAGACUCCUACGGGAGGCAGCAGUAGGGAAUCUUCCGCAAUGGACGAAAGUCUGACGGAGCAACGCCGCGUGAGUGAUGAAGGCUUUCGGGUCGUAAAACUCUGUUGUUAGGGAAGAACAAGUGCUAGUUGAAUAAGCUGGCACCUUGACGGUACCUAACCAGAAAGCCACGGCUAACUACGUGCCAGCAGCCGCGGUAAUACGUAGGUGGCAAGCGUUAUCCG
rnacentral:rRNA from 1 species